rnacentral:rRNA from 1 species
GACGAACGCUGGCGGCGUGCUUAACACAUGCAAGUCGAACGGAAAGGCCCUGCUUUUGUGGGGUGCUCGAGUGGCGAACGGGUGAGUAACACGUGAGUAACCUGCCCUUGACUUUGGGAUAACUUCAGGAAACUGGGGCUAAUACCGGAUAGGAGCUCCUGCUGCAUGGUGGGGGUUGGAAAGUUUCGGCGGUUGGGGAUGGACCCGCGGCUUAUCAGCUUGUUGGUGGGGUAGUGGCUUACCAAGGCUUUGACGGGUAGCCGGCCUGAGAGGGUGACCGGCCACAUUGGGACUGAGAUACGGACCAGACUCCUACGGGAGGCAGCAGUGGGGAAUAUUGCACAAUGGGCGGAAGCCUGAUGCAGCAACGCCGCGUGCGGGAUGACGGCCUUCGGGUUGUAAACCGCUUUCGCCUGUGACGAAGCGUGAGUGACGGUAAUGGGUAAAGAAGCACCGGCUAACUACGUG